UACGGAGGGUGCAAGCGUUAUCCGGAUUCACUGGGUUUAAAGGGUGCGUAGGUGGAUUGGUAAGUCAGUGGUGAAAUCUCCGGGCUUAACUCGGAAACUGCCAUUGAUACUAUCAGUCUUGAAUACCGUGGAGGUCAGUAGAAUAUGUCAUGUAGCGGUGAAAUGCUUAGAUAUGACAUAGAAUACCAAUUGCGAAGGCAGCUGGCUACACGAAUAUUGACACUCAGGCACGAAAGCGUGGGGAUCAAAC
rnacentral:rRNA from 1 species